AAAAACACACACAGAUAAGUCCAUAAUCCUGACAAUAUCAUGUACACGAAUCUGGGCACUGAGACAUUAAUCCUGACAGCAUGCUGACGGCGGACGAUCACGUGUGAUUGCCUGAUUUUGGCUCCUGUCUCUGGCUGGAGGAUGAUGGACUGCUGAUGUUUGCGCUAGCGGCAACUGUCACAAUAGAAGAAGAGCACAGACAGUUAUCUUCCAAAACGGGUGUUUAUUAACAGAUGGGCAGAAACACAAGCAGGUGCAGGAGGACAGAACGAAGAAGACCGAAGACUGUCGAGUGCUUAUGUAGGAGUCCUUGAUGAGCUGGUGCAGCUGAUCAGAAUUCAGUAAGCUGCUGUGUUUUGGGUGUUCUGGAGCACUAUGGCUGCCGUCUCGUCGUCCAGGUGGUGCUGCACGCUGAUGAGGAGAUCCAACCUCACAAUGUAAAGCACUUCGAGUGUCUAGAAAAGCACUAUAUAAAUGUAACAAAUUAUUAUUAUGAAGAGCAGUAAUAAAUUGUUCAUUUGUGUAAAAACUAGCUCAUUUGU